rnacentral:rRNA from 1 species
GAUGAACGCUGGCGGCGUGCCUAAUACAUGCAAGUCGAGCGAAUGGAUUAAGAGCUUGCUCUUAUGAAGUUAGCGGCGGACGGGUGAGUAACACGUGGGUAACCUGCACAUAAGACUGGGAUAACUCCGGGAAACCGGGGCUAAUACCGGAUAACAUUUUGAACCGCAUGGUUCGAAAUUGAAAGUCGGCUUCGGCUGUCACUUAUGGAUGGACCCGCGUCGCAUUAGCUAGCUGGUGAGGUAGCGGCUCACCAAGGCAACGAUGCGUAGCCGACCUGAGAGGGUGAUCGGCCACACUGGGACUGAGACACGGCCCAGACUCCUACGGGGGGCAGCAGUAGGGAAUCUUCCGCAAUGGACGAAAGUCUGACGGAGCAACGCCGCGUGAGUGAUGAAGGCUUUCGGGUCGUAAAACUCUGUUGUUAGGGAAGAACAAGUGCUAGUUGAAUAAGCUGGCACCUUGACGGUACCUAACCAGAAAGCCACGGCUAACUACGUGCCAGCAGCCGCCGUAA